rnacentral:rRNA from 1 species
GACGAACGCUGGCGGCGUGCUUAACACGUGCAAGUCGAACGCUGAAGCUCAGCUUUUGUUGGGUGGAUGAGUGGCGAACGGGUGAGUAACACGUGAGUAACCUGCCCCCUUCUUUGGGAUAACGCCCGGAAACGGGUGCUAAUACUGGAUAUUCACUGGUCUUCGCAUGGGGGUUGGUGGAAAGGGUUUUUCUGGUGGGGGAUGGGCUCGCGGCCUAUCAGCUUGUUGGUGGGGUGAUGGCCUACCAAGGCUUUGACGGGUAGCCGGCCUGAGAGGGUGACCGGUCACAUUGGGACUGAGAUACGGCCCAGACUCCUACGGGAGGCGGCAGUGGGGAAUAUUGCACAAUGGGCGCAAGCCUGAUGCAGCGACGCCGCGUGAGGGAUGGAGGCCUUCGGGUUGUGAACCUCUUUCGCUCAUGGUCAAGCCGCAACAAUGGUUGUGGUGAGGGUAGUGGGUAAAGAAGCGCCGGCUAACUACGUG